GGCACUAAAGAAGAGGGGACAGCUUAUAUCUCAAAGCCUUGAGAAAGUCAGGGGCGUUAUCAAAAUGAAGAGAUGCUAGCAAGAACUUUAAGAAAGGAAAAGGAGAUGACACUUGUCAUAAAUAUGGCAAGAUUAGGCACUAUGAAGGACUACCUUAUGCACCAAAUAGAAUAUAAGAAAUAUGUUAGUCAAGUUGUUGACAA
rnacentral:lncRNA from 1 species